ensembl:lncRNA
CAUCUCUUUGCCGAAGCCCACGACGCCGAGAUCCGCAGAGCCUAGCGUGGCAGAAAGGCUCUGAAGGUUCGGUCUGGGGAAAACAGCUCCCAGACCGUUCCCCACUCCUGACGCAGCAAGCGGCCAGUGAGCAGAGCUAGCCUAAAGCGUGAUGGGCCGCGGCGGGCAGCGUCAGCUGGUGCCCAACGUGGGGCCUCUUCGGCGAGAGGAGACCCCCGGAGGAGUCGUUUUUGGAUUACAAAGACUUUUGGGCGGCAGCUACCCCGGUUGCAGCAGGCCGGUUUUUGUCCGGCAGCGCUCCCAGAGGAAGGAGCGACAAUCUCUCUGCGCACGAGGGACCGCUCCUGGGGCUUUGGACAUCUCCCACGGUCACUGUCUGGACCCGGUAAGUUUUCCCCGGUGGGGGAAAAGGGGGGGGGGGGCGUGUGUGUGAGCCCCUUGGUAAAGUGUGACUCCCCUGGGGAGGGGGGUGAGUGGGAUUCGGGUCCAGACCCUUAUUUUUAGUUCUUUAAGUUCUCGUUUGCCGUUGGGGGGUGGUGAGACUGCGGAGCCGGGGGUGUGAGAGAUGGGUGCGUGUUUGUCGGCUCCGCAGAGGGGGAUUUAUUUCCAAGUUGCAGGUAUCCUUGAGGGUGGGAAGCACAAGUAUUCGCGUGGGUUGGUUAAGAGGCUUGUACGUUGGCUUUUUCUGCAUUUUCCCCAUGUGUCCUCUGAAGAUGUUCUCUCGGUGUCAUUUUGGAAUUCAGUCGGGUCCAAAUUAACGGCUUUAGUGGUUCAGGGGGACAAAACAGCCGCCAAAUUAAUCCCGCUUUUCGUUCUAAUUCAGACAGCUUUAGUUGAAAAAAGGGAAAUGCAGAAGCAUCCAACGCAGCCUUCCCCAGUUUCUUCAGUUUCCCCAGUUUCCCCAAACCCCUGCUCCUCAUCCCUUGUCCCUAAGUUGGGGGAGACCUGCGGAGCAACCUGUAAAACGCAGGGCUCCGAAGUCGGCAGUAGUCUCCCUGGCUCCCCAAGCCUCCCUCAGAACCCUUGCUCCGGAAGCCCUGGCCAAGCUGCUAGAGCCCUUACCCAUUCCCCUACUUCCCCAGUUAAUAACUCCAAGUUUUCCCCUUUCCAAGUUCCAAAUCCCCAGUUUGAUAAAGUUAUUGACCCCCAGUUUCUCUCCCAGAACCCUGGAUCCCCUACACUCCCUCGUUCCCAGUAUUCCCCUAAACCUUCCCCUAAAUCUCCCCAUACCUUACCUGAUUCCCAAAAUGGCCCCCGAGGGACACAAGAUGGCGGGGACCGCAUGGUCGGACCCCUCCCUUGUGCUCCUUCUUCCCACAAUCCAUUCCUCCCCUCAAAGUCCAACCCCUUCCUCCCUAGCUCCUCCUUCCCUUCCUACCCUGACCCCUCCCACUUUCCCUCAGAUGGUCCCUCCUCCUCGGGGGUGUGUCCCCAAAGUGUUACCUUCCAAAACUCCACCCCUUCCGGCCGCUACUCCUCCCUCCAACCCUCCCCCUCAGUCGGUCCUCCAACCCCGCCUCUUCCGGCUCCCGGUUCCCACGCCUCCCCUUCCAGUUCCCAUGCUCCUCCUACCAGUUCCCACGCCCCUCCAUCUGGUUCCCACGCUUCGGGAACUGGAGGUGACAGGCCUGAGACCUGGAACCCGGAACAGGUUGUGAUUCCCUUUGCCGCACCGGUCAGUUUUAGAGGAAGGGGGGGGAGAUACCGAGAAUGGGAACCCUUCUCCUUCCAGACGAAGAGGGAGCUGUGCAAGGCUCAGAAGGAGUUCGGCAGGAGAAGUGAAUAUUUUAAGGGCUUAUUAAAGGCCACCUUCUCCGUGAACGAGAUGGUCCCCCACGACUUGAAAGAAUUGUUUGCCUGCCUCCUUUCCCCAGCUGACUAUAGGCUGUGGAAACAGAGGUGGAAGAAAUCGUUGGAGGCCAUCCUUCCUGAGCUGCUGCACAGCGAGGAGACCGCGGUUGAUGCGGAUGAAAACCCCCUCUCAAUUGAUCACCUGUGCGGUGAAGGGAAUUGGGUGAAGCCAGAAGAACAGGCCAGGGUUUUACCCCGGCCUGUUUUGAUUAAAAUUACGGAGGCCACUGAAAAGGUAUUUAACAUCUUGCCGGGGGGGGAACCCCUUACCAACUUUUCAAACAUCAAACAAUCCCCCAAUGAGCCAUUUACCAUUUUUGUGAACCGGUUGCAGGAACAGAUAGAGAGACAGGUUGAUAGACCUGAGCUGCAAGAGCAGCUUAUCCUCGAAAUGGCAAAAGCCAAUUGCAACGACAUCUGUAAACAAGUUAUUUUUAGCCUGCCUUUGUAUCCACCGCCGACCCUGGACGCCCUCAUUGAUGCGUGCAAGAAGAAAGUGCCAUUAGUGGGGACGUCCAGGGUGCCGCCACCACCACACGUGGUCAGGAGACCACCAACGGCAGCAGUGACCCAGCACCCGGCGGGGCACAUCGUUAUUCCGCCGGCAAGAACCACGCAAUGCUAUCGAUGUGGACAGCUGGGCCACAUGGCGAGGAACUGUCCUGUCAACCACCCUCAC